rnacentral:rRNA from 1 species
GACGAACGCUGGCGGCGUGCUUAACACAUGCAAGUCGAACGCUGAAGCUCAGCUUUUGUUGGGUGGAUGAGUGGCGAACGGGUGUGUAACACGUGAGUAACCUGCCCCCUUCUUUGGGAUAACGCCCGGAAACGGGUGCUAAUACUGGAUAUUCACUGGUCUUCGCAUGGGGGCUGGUGGAAAGGGUUUUUCUGGUGGGGGAUGGGCUCGCGGCCUAUCAGCUUGUUGGUGGGGUGAUGGCGUACCAAGGCUUUGACGGGUAGCCGGCCUGAGAGGGUGACCGGUCACAUUGGGACUGAGAUGCGUCCCAGGCUCGUACGGGAGGCAGAAGUGGGGAAUAUUGCACAAUGGGCGCAAGCCUGGUGCAGCGACGCCGCGGAAGGGAUGGAGACCUUCGGGUUGUGAAACUCUGUCGCUCAUGGUCAAGCCGCAACAAUGGUUGUGGUGAGGGUAGUGGGUAAAGAAGCGCCGGCUAACUACGUG